UACAGAGGGGGCAAGCGUUGUUCGGAAUUACUGGGCGUAAAGGGCUCGUAGGCGGCCAACUAAGUCAGACGUGAAAUCCCUCAGCUUAACUGGGGAACUGCGUCUGAUACUGGAUGGCUUGGAUUCGGGAGAGGAAUGCGGAAUUCCAGGUGUAGCGGUGAAAUGCGUAGAUAUCUGGAGGAACACCGGUGGCGAAGGCGGCAUCCUGGACCAAUACUGACGCUCAUGUGCGAAAGCGUGGGGAGCAAACAGG
rnacentral:rRNA from 1 species